UGGAGAGUUUGAUCCUGGCUCAGAACGAACGCUGGCGGCAGGCUUAACACAUGCAAGUCGAGCGCCUCGCAAGAGGAGCGGCAGACGGGUGAGUAACACGUGGGAAUCUACCCAUCCCUGCGGAACAACUCCGGGAAACUGGAGCUAAUACCGCAUACGCCCUACGGGGGAAAGAUUUAUCGGSGAUGGAUGAGCCCGCGUUGGAUUAGCUAGUUGGUGGGGUAAMGGCCUACCAAGGCGACGAUCCAUAGCUGGUCUGAGAGGAUGAUCAGCCACAUUGGGACUGAGACACGGCCCAAACUCCUACGGGAGGCAGCAGUGGGGAAUAUUGGACAAUGGGCGCAAGCCUGAUCCAGCCAUGCCGCGUGAGUGAUGAAGGCCUUAGGGUUGUAAAGCUCUUUCACCGAUGAAGAUAAUGACGGUAGUCGGAGAAGAAGCCCCGGCUAACUUCGUGCCAGCAGCCGCGGUA
rnacentral:rRNA from 1 species